GCCAGAUUUGGGAUGAAUAUCUAUGUUAAAAUACUUCCUCUUCAUAGACUCGCGGAUUAACGUUGGAGUUGACAAGAUGCCAUAAACUCGUGGCAAGGAGAAGAUGAUCUGCAGCAUCCUGCUGCUCAUCAGCCUGACCUCCUGUGUCUGUGGAACAUUUGUAGUGAAUGUGACACAGACCUCCUAUCAGGCAGAGGAGAACGAGAAC